rnacentral:lncRNA from 1 species
AGCUGGGACUGCAUAAGCUGAGCUUCGGGAAACCCUCCGGUGCCUGACAAUGAACCGGAGCAAAGAGAAGCCCAGAGGCCGAGAAACUGAGUCCGACACCAGUGUCUGUGGACUGGACUCAGCCACAUGGGAAGGCGGAUACUUGGACUCUCCAGCCAAAGGUCACCUGAAGGUCCCCUCUGGCCUCAUAUCUGUCACCAGAUGAGGUUUGAAUCUCUCGGGGCUGAAGACAACGGUGAAUGCCACAGAUAAAACAGGAGACAGGCCACAGACACAAAGAUGCCCAGUGAGGCACAGGAACCCAACGGUGGGGACACCCCAAGGUCCAUGCACGCGUGGAGGGGCGGACAAACAGAAUAGUCUGUCUGGACAAUGGCCUGCUGCUCAGCCAGGAAGAGGACAGACGCCUGAUACCGACAGGGUCUUGUUAUGGAGCUGAAGCUGGCCUCGAACUUGUGAUCCUCCUGCUUCAGCCUCCUGAGCAGCCAGGAUUAUAGGAGCAUGCCUGUGAGUUGGUAGUUGGUAACAUUAUGGAUGUACUGAACGUCACCUAACCUGUUGGUUUUUGUUAUGUGCAUUUUCACAUCCGUUUUUUGUUGUUGUUGUUGUUUUGGUACCGGGGAUUGAACUCGGGUCCUUGCGCUUUCGAGGC